CACACACACACGCACACACACACAAAUCCCCCUUUCCAACUUUCUGCCUUUUGCGCUUUCCUUCCAGUUUUUUUCACUUCUCAGACCUACUGGCAGCAUUUGCCGUGAUCUAGAUCCCCGCCGUGUGGGUUGCUUCUGUCUGCUUCAAGCUUUUCCAGGUUUAAGCAUAAUAAUUUACGUGAGGAAACCGGGUUUUUUCAGGGUGCCCCGCUGAUGUAUGAGACAAGAAAGAAGAUGGUCCU